UACAGAGGAUGCAAGCGUUAUCCGGAAUGAUUGGGCGUAAAGCGCCUGUAGGCGGCUUUUUAAGUCCGCCGUCAAAUCCCAGGGCUCAACUCUGGACAGGCGGUGGAAACUACCAAGCUAGAGUACGGUAGGGGCAGAGGGAAUUUCCGGUGGAGCGGUGAAAUGCGUAGAGAUCGGAAAGAACACCAACGGCGAAAGCACUCUGCUGGGCCGACACUGACGCUGAGAGGCGAAAGCUAGGGGAGCGAAUGGG
rnacentral:rRNA from 1 species